rnacentral:lncRNA from 10 species
AGAGCUGGCCGUGGGGGAAGAGCAAUGGUGUGCGGAGGUGGGGGAGGCCCUAUCUAGGGACAAGCAGAAAACUUAGGGUGGGCAGAUCCCCCCGACCCCUGUGCAGGGGCUGCCGGAGACCAGAGAGGCUGCUGUGUGACCUGGACCAAGCCCCUUGCCCUCUCAUGCCUCAGUUUCCCCUUCUCUCCACGGAGGGAUUGAGCAGGACAUGGAGGGCCCCUUCCAGUAGCCAUUCUGGGACUCCCUGCACCUGUCCCCAGGGGAGGGUCCUGAGCUGGCCUCCACGUGGCUGCUGUUCCCCAUAGUGGAACCUUGUGUGUGGAGACGGCUGGAAGGUCCCGCUGGAGCAGGUGAGCCACCUCCUGGGCUGGCUGCUGGGCUGUGUCAUCCUGGGAGCAGGCUGUGACCGGUUUGGACGCCGGGCAGUUUUUGUGGCCUCCCUGGUGCUGACCACAGGCCUGGGGGCCAGUGAGGCCCUGGCUGCCAGCUUCCCUACCCUGCUGGUCCUGCGCCUACUCCACGGGGGCACAUUGGCAGGGGCCCUCCUCGCCCUGUAUCUGGCUCGCCUGGAGUUGUGUGACCCUCCCCACCGCCUGGCCUUCUCCAUGGGGGCUGGCCUUUUCUCGGUGGUGGGCACCCUGCUGCUGCCCG